GUUUCGGCCCCGCAAAAGUACACCCUAUCCUCUCUCCUGACAAGCUGGGCCAAGCGUCCAGUGAGGUGUCCCUUCUCACAGCCCCGGGACACCCCCAAGCCACCGUCCCCAACCCCCAACCCGGAAGCAAAAGGAAUGCUUCAAAGGGUAAAACUCCUUAGACGGCCCACAAGCCCUCCCAGGGCAUCCUCCCGGCCACCUCGCAUGCCUAGCACAAGCCUAGAACUUUCCUCCUCACACCUACUGGUCCCCCCACCUGAAAGGCUCUUCUCUCGGCUGCCCCCCUUUCUCCAUUCUUCAUGUCUCAGCUGAAACAUCGCCUCCUGGGAGAGGUCUGUCCUGCCCACUCAACCCAGAACGGACCCCUCCGGUCACUCUCUGUCAGGAACCGUUCUGACAAGUUUUCCAUUCCUGUCUGAUGCAUAGUGGGAGGGCAGGACCGUGUCCCCAGCACCCGGUGCCAGUGCCGUGCUCAAGAGCCACGAGGUCGAGUUUGCAGCCACUGUCACUUCCAUCUGAAGCUCCCUUUAAACCAUCUCCUGCCCAGUCAUAACUUACGCCCUUUACAGUGUGUGUGGAAGCAGCCCAGGUCAUGCCCCAGUUUGGGAGGUCAGGGGACCAGCCCAAGAGCAUUCACCGAGAUCACAGUAAAGCCUGGCACAGCUGCCCGACAACUGUAUCAUGCGUAGUGGGGGGGAUGCACACAGCCGCUGAGUACCCACUGGGGCCUUCGUGGGAGGGGCUCAGUACGUGGUGAGAAGGGCUGGAGUGGCCAGAGGGACGCCCAAGGGCUCGGGACCCGACUCAGACCAGAGGCAAAGGCAGUCGGGGGCGCUGUAAAGAACACUCAGGCGGGGAGUCUGGGCUCUGGUUCUCAAACCGCAUCCCCUUGUCUCCUUGAGGCCUCCAGGUGCUAAAGCAGGGGGCAGGGGGUCAGCUCCCGGCCCCUCACUUCAACCACAACAGGUCCCUCUUACCUGCUGGAGCCACUGGGAAUCUAAGAGUCUGUACUGGAUUUCACUAGGAAAGAACGGCUCUACUAAGAAACAAACCAAGGGAACUUUGAAAUCUCUGUGCCUACAAACCAUAAAGGUGUUUGUCUUUGCGAGGUUUCUUAACCUCCUUGACCCUUAUUUUCUCAUCUACCGUUCCGUAGUUACAUUUUGUACCAGGAGUUAGUGAUCCCUGCAGGAAAGGGUAGCCAUGAAGGCACCCGGAGGUUAUAACUCCCUACAGGUUGAUAAGUUUCUAGGAUGGGGAAAACCCCAGACGCAGGCAACAAGUCACAAGAACGCAGCACCCAGAGGCCUUUUGACCUCAGACAUCACGCUGUCUGGAGAAAAAGCACAUGCCAUCCUACCCUCAGCCCCACCUGUCCUGCACACAGAGUGAACUUUAAUCUCCAGGCCCUCAGACAUCACACUGGGAUCAGGAAAAGACAGCUGACAUCAGGUCAUUUUCCCCCUCCCGCCCCAAAGGAGGGCAUCAUUCAAACUCUGACACCAGUAAAACUCCCAAGGAUUAAGUGAGAUCAUGAAUAUAAAGGUGCCCAGCACAGAAGCAGUUCCUGAUUAAUAUUAGUAACAGUAAUAAGGUAACUCGGGAGUCCUCCUUCCUCACCACUGCCCCACACCCCGGCUGCCAGCACCUCUGUGAACUUCCAGUUGAUGCAGGGCCUGAAAUCCUCUCCCGGAGGGCAGCUGGGCAGCAGCGUGGUCAGUGGAAAGUCCGUGGACCAGAGGGUAUGAGGGCAGUCUAGCCCUGCCCCUGACCCACCAGCCUCUAUCUAGCUCUGUGACCUUGGGCAAAUCACUGAAAUCUCUUACGGCCUGGACCAUCUCCACUGAAAAAAAAGAAAAAUGGAAGCAUUUCCCUUUUUCAUCCAGAGCCCCGAAUGAUUAGUAGUGACCUGUAGAACAGUGUCACUUGGCACUCCUGGGCCACUGAGGCCAAUGCCAAGGUCUUGUCUUCCUCUGGAACCCAGCACCCCAUCUGAUCCCGUCAACCCCUAAGUAGUGGACACUUUGGGCUGCUCACUACUUUUCUCCACAUCAAGCCCCCGCCCCGCGCCCCUGCGCUUCCCCCCCCCCCGCCCCCCCUUCCCAGUGCCCACUCAGCCCAGGCCCAGGUCAGACCCACCCCCUCUUCAGCUGGAAAUCUCCUCUACAGCCUCCUGAAGAGUAAACCCGCUCCGCCUGCGUGACCGCAGGGCACCGGGAGCCAGCACGCUUGCCUUUUAGCUCUUUGGCCUCCGGCGAGCUAUUUACCCCCUGAAGAUAACAGUACCUGCUUCCUGGCCCCCCGGGGGGAGCCGAAAGGAGACCUAAACACCCCAACCGCUUAGAACAGUCCCAGGCAGGCGGUUAUGUGCUCCUAAGCAUCAGCCCCGCCCCCCUUCUUUCACUAAAAGGUCAAGUCUGUUUACCUGGCUGCUCUCCUGCCCUCCCCACCCCCGUUAAUCCUGCCGCAGUUUCUUCACCUCUUAAUCUAGCACUCGCUUCCCUAAACCGCUCCUAAAUCCCGGUGUGCACGUCUCUCCCCCGCAGGGCCGUCGGCUCCCGAAGGCGGGACCGCACCCGCUCCCACCCUCCUCACUGCCGGUCCCGGAGGCGGCUUGGCCGGGACCGCAGAUUAUGCCCAGAACGAGAGGAACGCGCUGCAUCCGGCUCUAGGGUUGCGGUGUCCCGGCCACAAGGGGCUUGGGGCGCGGCCUGUGGGUGGAGUUUCUCCUGUUCGGGCCCAGAAGUCUGGUUCGACUCGAUUCUAUCGCUGAGCCGGCCGCCACGGGCGGGUUACUGCACCUGAGCCUCGGUCACCGCACCUACAAAGUGCGCGCAGCGGGAUCAGCCCCGGAAUCUGCGCUGCGGGGCGCCGAGCACUUGCAGGCAGAGGCUGCGGGCCGCUCUCACCGUCCCGACCGUCCAGUCGGGAGGAGGGACCCCUCUGGUGCACCUAACAGAUGAACACUGCGGACCCCAAAGAGAAGCACAACACUCCUCCCCAGCCGUUUAGGAGCCUCGGUGCCCGCAGGACCUCGAGGAGACCGCGCCCUGGGCGGCUUCCCCCCCCGGACCCCGGCCGGGCCACUCCACACCCCCCGCACCGGGCUCUCGCCCACCUGCACGCCGAGGGCUGUCAUCCCGCGCCUGGGCUCGGCCGCGCGCUCCCGCCUGGUUCUCUCGGGGCUCCCGAGCGCUGCUCUGCCGGGGCCGCGGCUCCCGACUCCCGACCUCUUCCCGGGGGCGGGGCGGGCCGGAGGGAGGGGCGGGCGGAACUGCUGCCCCCGGGCGGCUGGUCGGGCCAGGCCCCUCCCCGCCCGCCCGCCCGCCCGCCCGCCGCGGCUCCGUUUGCGCUGAGUCAGCGGGGCCGCCGGAGGAGCCUCCGGGCAGGGGCGGGGGCCAGGACCCGGCCCGAAGGGGAGGCUCGGGCCCUGGGGGAGGGCUGACCCGGCCGACUUGCAGGCCCGAAGCCGCUCCCCAGUCUCAGGGCACGGCUGUGCCCGCGGCGCCGAUUCCUCGAGGGCCCGGGGCCCAGGAGCCGGGUCCGCCCCGGCGGGUCCGCCCGAGCGUCCGGGGAGGCGGCGGCGUCCAGACGGCAGGCGCGCGCCCGGGCUCUGCAGCUCCACCACCGUGGGCCGUUGUGAUCCUGGGCUCUUGUUUCCGUCUCUGAGCCACGGGCGAUAAAUGAGAUGAUGCCCGUGAAAGGUCGGGGGUCUUGCGAGGCUUCGGUAAAUGUGAACGGAGUGGACUCCCCGGGGCCGUCUUUCCUGCGUCCCUUUUCUCUCCCCCAAAGCGGGGCGUACAGCCCUGCUCGCCUCCGCAGGGACCAUCCAGAAGGCAAAUAGGACAAGACAAAAGUCAUUGUUCUUCCUGGACUUUUGAUGGGGCUUGAGUUCUCAAGGGGGCAGCGCACAACGUCCCCACCCCAAGAAGGGUAAAUUCCAGCUGAGACCCUCCCAGCCCUUCUCAGCUGUUGAUAAACAGGGAGGGGGUUGCCGCCUAAGGUGAAGCAGGGUCUCCUUUCUCCGUCUCGAAGCAGGGUGAGGGAAGUUACUUGGCCCACUCAGGCAGGCAGCUCCCCGGUGACUUUGCCCGGGGACGUUCUCAGCUGGCACCUAACGCUCCCGCCGCCCCACCCCAAGCCCCAUCCCGGGCAUCUCCCUGUCAGAGGUUCAUCUGAUUCUGUCGCUGCCGCAGAAACCGCGUCAGGUACGUUAACCUAGCGCCUGCCUUGUUCCGUGUGUGGUCAGGACUGUUUGGGGGUCUGCUGCCUGUUAUGCUUUCUUGGUAAGAAUAGAAAGUCUUGAAUCGGUGGAAUUUAGAGCGACAUGUCAGCAAGAUUGCUGGAGAAGUAGAAAUGACUUAGGAAUGAUGAUGAGGAAGUGAUGGUCCGCUUCCAAUUAUUUUAUGAGCGUAAGAAAGCCGGGGGACUUCCCCUGGCGGUCCAGUGGUUAAGACUCCGCACUUGCACUGCAGGCGGCGCGGUUAGGGUUCA